rfam:Rhodanobacter sp. C03 NODE_5_length_296154_cov_16.7409_ID_9, whole genome shotgun sequence.
GCCGGCAUAGCUCAGUUGGUAGAGCAACUGAUUUGUAAUCAGUAGGUCCCCAGUUCGAAUCCGGGUGCCGGCA